CCUACGGGAGGCAGCAGUGAGGAAUAUUGGUCAAUGGGCGCGAGCCUGAACCAGCCAAGUCGCGUGAGGGAGGACGGCCCUACGGGUUGUAAACCUCUUUUGCCGGGGAGCAACGGGCGUCACGUGUGGCGCCACUGAGAGUACCCGGAGAAACAGCAUCCGCUAACUCCGUGCCAGCAGGCGCGGUAAUACGGGGGAUGCGAGCGUUAUCCGGAUUUAUUGGGGUUAAAGGGUGCGUAGGCGGAUCGUUAAGUCAGUGGUCAAAUUGAGGGGCUCAACCCCUUCCCGCCAUUGAAACUGGCGUUCUUGAGUGGAAGAGAAGUAUGCGGAAUGCGUGGUGUAGCGGUGAAAUGCAUAGAUAUCACGCAGAACCCCGAUUGCGAAGGCAGCAUGCCGGCUUCCGACUGACGCUGAAGCACGAAAGCGUGGGGAUCGAACAGGAUUAGAUACCCUGUAGUC
rnacentral:rRNA from 1 species